CCACUGCGCCACCAGGGAAGCCCAGUUGAACAUUUUUGUAUUGAUGAUUUUCAAUUCUGCUAUCAAAAGCAAGUCAACUGUUACUCUGAUUACAAAUGGAUGUUUCAAACUAUUACAAAUGAGUGACUUGCAUGCUGCAGUUCGAGAUACCUUGCAUAUUUUGAAGAGAGAAGUAUGAUGGUAGAAAACAGAAUGGCAGGAUUUAUACAGAGAAUCCAAGACUACCAUUACCCUAUUUUAUUAUUUUUAAGCUAUGCAUAAUAUUCAGUAGUUUCCUGUCAAGAUAGGAAGUUUAUACUUGUAGAGCCUGACAAAUAUUUGCAUAUGACAUUUAAUUAUAAAGCAUUGGUACAAGAAGGA